GACGAACGCUGGCGGCGUGCUUAACACAUGCAAGUCGAACGGAAAGGCCCCUUCGGGGGUCCUCGAGUGGCGAACAGGUGAGUAACACGUGAGUAACCUGCCCUUGACUUCGGGAUAACUUCAGGAAACUGGGGCUAAUACCGGAUAGGAAUCCUUGCUGCAUGGUGGGGGUUGGAAAGCUUCGGCGGUUUUGGAUGGACUCGCGGCUUAUCAGCUUGUUGGUGGGGUAGUGGCUUACCAAGGCUUUGACGGGUAGCCGGCCUGAGAGGGCGACCGGCCACAUUGGGACUGAGAUACGGCCCAGACGCCGACGGGAGGCAGCAGUGGGGAAUAUUGCACAAUGGGCAGAAGCCUGAUGCAGCAACGCCGCGUGCGGGAUGACGGCCUUCGGGUUGGAAACCGCUUUCAGCAGGGGCGAAGCUUGUGGUGACGGUACCUGCAGAAGAAGCACCGGCUAACUACGUG
rnacentral:rRNA from 1 species